CAAAUAAUCACAUUCUUUCAUUAUCUAUUAUUUAAGCGGUUUAAGUGUUGUGUAUAGACUAUAGACUGAAUGUAAUAUAAUCUAUAUGCAUAUUUGUGACGUAAAAUCGCUAAGGCAUUAGGUGUUUUUUGUAUGGCGUAACGUGUGUGCAAACAGAAAAACAUAGAUAAGAUGGCGGCGGCACCGGCUUCCUGUAUGAGCACUGAAAAUGGUUGCGUCAUGUUUGACUGUCUCGUGCACUUGUGGGAAUGGAUUGAUCCUCCUCUCCAACAGACGCAGUUUCAAAUGGACGCCAAGAAAACUAUACCAGCAACACAGCAACCGCUGACGCAACAACACAUAAUGUCACACCAUGUUCAUCCUGACCAAAUAUACACCCAGCAGCAAAUGUCAAAUCACGUAACAUCCAACCCACCUGUACAAAAUCAGCCAAAUGGCGUUAUACAUCAGCAACAACUCAUACAAAAUCAAUAUCAUGCAACCAUGACCGCUAGAUCACCCCUUUUAGAAAAUAGACAUGAAAUAUAUGGAACCAGUCAUAAUCACGAAUACGCCAGACAUUAUGGCGCAAAUGACAACUACAACUAUCAACAGCAAUCUCCAACCACUGAAAGAACAGAACAAAUUAUUCAUACAGAUCAUAAUGUUAAUCACGAUAUUGUACAUAACAUCCCGAAGGGGUACAACGCCGAAGUUUAUCAAGACUAUUUGAAACGUAACCCACCGAAAGACAAUAACCAAAUAUAUCAAAAUCAUCAACCUAUGUAUAGACCUAAUAUGAAUCAAUAUGGUUCAAAACCUUAUUUGCCAUAUUCUAAUAGAAUAGGACCUCAAAGUAAUACGGAGCUUUUGAGGAGACAGUACAAUGAAAUCCAACAGCUGAAAAUGCAACAGCAACUCCACUAUCAGAAUCAGGCCCAAAUGCACCAACAACAAAAAUUCGCCGAAAGGCAACUCCUAUUGCAACAAAUACACGGUGUGCAGCCUCCACCGAACUUACAAAACAGCAUUUACUCUGACAAUUCGUAUAGAGAUUUGGAUAGGUACGGUAGUAGAAAUGAUUUCAAAGACUAUACAGGAGAUAUACAGAAAGAUGUAGAUAAGUAUGCCAAAAAUAAUGAAUAUAGAGAGAUAGAGAGGCAAAAUAAACAGUUCCAAGAAGCGCAAUGGCAACAUAAUCAAGAAGGAUUUAAGGAGAUUGAACGGUAUAGAAGUCCACCAGAGGAGAAGACAAAUCACAGAUCCCCACCAACGGAUUUUAAUAACCAACUUAAAAAGCACACGGGUUCGAUGUCUCCGAUGAAGUCUAGCGAAUCCAGUUCGCCUAGCGUAAAGUCCCCAUCAACUGAAAGUCGCAGGAGUAGCAGUGGCCAAGCUUUACGAUCACCAACAGCGCAAAGAAUUCCUUCUGCUCCUGUUACUAUAUCCGGAAUGCUUUAUAAGCAGGGAUCCGACGGCCUGAAAGUGUGGCGGAAGAGGUGGUUCGUGCUAUCUGAAUACUGUUUAUUCUACUAUAAAAGUCAAGACGAAGAAAAACUGUUGGGGUCCGUUCUUUUACCAUCGUAUAAGGUAUCCGCCUGUACUAGUGAAGAUAAGGUAAUGAGGAAGUACGCGUUUAAAUUAGAACACGCAAAUAUGCGGACGUAUGUAUUAGCAGCGAUGGAUCAAGAAUCUAUGAUGAAAUGGGUUAAGGGACUCACUAUGGCUGCACUUAUGCAAAAUUACAGCGAACACCAACGGAAACAAAUUGAGCGAACUGCAAAACCAGAGGAUGAUGAUAUUCCUGGACCCACAUACGCAAAUGCACCUCCGAAGCCACGACGCUCAAAUGAUGGAUACAAUUCACCAGGCUCAGAUAUAUACGACCCAAAUUAUGAUCUGUUGAUCAAACCAGAGUCCCAAUACAAUCAAAACACUUCGAAGCAGCAUCAAGAUCAAUAUGGAAGUAAAGUGAAUCAAGAUGCUUACGCAAGAACUCCACAGUCGCCUCCCCAACAACCUCUGUAUCAAACAAAAAGAUCCAACGAUUUACAAAAUGUUUCUGGAUCAAACCACGAAAGGCCUCAAGAACUGUAUAAAUACCCACAAUCGCCCCCUUUUGAAACAAGACGUCUUACCGAUGAUAACAUGUAUCAAUCAAAUAACCCCUUCCUACAAAGCUAUUCAGGCCAGGAAUCUCGUAUUCCGCCUCUUGAAUCACAAAACAAUGAUCAAAAAUCCAUAAAAAGUUAUGGAGAAAAUUAUCCAGAAACAAAAACACGUAAUGAUCCCAAUGUAUAUGCUAGAGAUGUGUAUGGUGAAUUGGAUCAAAAGCCGGUUCCAACGAACAGUGUAAAUGAUCGAAUUAUGGAGAGGCGAACGCCCGAUGCAUACGGGCGCUCCACUACGAUGUCGAGUUAUAAAAACAAACAUGGUGAUUAUGAAGAUGUAUACUCCGCAUAUUCAAGUGAGAAUCCCGCUAAGUCACCUAAUUUAUCACUGCAUCGAGACAAUAUUAGUUUGUCAAGUCAAAAACAGCAACAAAAACCCAAUCAGACUCAAGAGAAAGUGUUUAGCGGGCCAUCAGUUCUUCGAAGGAAGAAAAUGCAAGCAAGUGGCAUACAACCUACCAUGCCUAGGCCACAUAGCGCAGACUUUUUGGAGUACGAAGCUAGAAACGAAUCAUUGAAUAAGACAAUGCCAACAAGAAAUAAUUUAGAUCUUCAUAAAAAUCCACAGCGGCCCAAAUCAAGUCUUGACAUAAACUCAUAUUACGACCCCAGUUCAGAAACAUAUUACUCCGAAGAGAGCUAUGCAGAAAAAAUGAGACAGUCAGCCCAAUAUUUGCAGCAACAAGGUCUUGCGCCUCGUAAUAUACAGAUACCACUCGCUAAAUAUGCGAGUGGCUUAGCUGAAAAACAAUUGCAGUCCCCCUACGCUCAUACACCAAACAACAAUUAUGAAAUGGAAUUUGGCGCAAAACCACGCGAUAAUAUCAGCUACACCUCAAAAUACAGUGACCUGGAAGGAUUAAACUCUAAUUGGAUGCUGAAAGAGAAAGAUUUAGAACAACAAAAGGAUUACUUGAACCGAAGUGGGAGUGUAAUGAGCGAUGGAUCAAAUGGAAGUUACUUAAAAGAAGCAAGUAAAUUGGAGCCUAAUUCUGAUGGUUUUAUAAGAUCUGCGAGUGCACGAUUACCUUCUACUGAACGUGAUGGUGAAAAGAAAGUUCAGCAGCGCGAGGAAUCAAUGAAACGCUUAUUGGAAUGGAAACAAAGAAUGUUGCAGUCUCCUUUGACUAGAAAGAGCACGCCUGCAACUAUUUCCUUAGCAAGAUCUCUAAAUCAGAGUCGACAAUCAUUAAGAUCAGAUCAUUACAAACCUAAAACAUACUCAAAUAAUUCAUAUAACAGCUACUCAUCUGAUGACGAAGCAUCCCUAACAAUAUCAGGUACUAACAUAGAAUCUAACGCAAACAAUAAUCAAAUUCAACAAACAUUAUCAAAGAAAUCAUUUGUCGGAAGUAAUACAUCUAUUGGACGUAGUAAUAGAGAUGGGAAUAUACCAGUAAGGGCAGUCAGCCCAAGAGUAAGAUGGGUUGAAGAGAAAGCAAAUGAGCAUUACACGUCACAACAGAUUAGUGCGUCGCAGCAAAAUCUUAAUAUAUUACCGGGCACAGAAGAAUCUUGGGCCACGAUUAGGUCCCCUUCUCGGAUUUCCCAACAGCCUGUAAGCGCUGUCAGUCCCAGAGUUAGGAGGAACACUGAAACUGACGAAAUGCAAAAGUUGCCUCGUGAAUUGGUAGACAUACCAACAGCUGGUGAACUCUUGGGACGGAGUCAUGAAGAAUUAGUUCUCCUUCUCAUACAAUUACGUCGACGGCAUGCUGCAACACAUCGGUCCAUAGAGCAAUGCUGCCACCAAAUACAUAGUAUAGAGGAAUGUCUUGGUUCUUUAAAAGCAUUAGAACGAGAGGAGAGUCUGCGAAGGCUAGAACAAUUGAAGAUGCAAUUAAUGGAGCUAGAACAACAGUAUGCCAAAAGCAAACCCCUUGUUCAAUUAGUGGAUAAUAUGGUCAAACUGGGGUCAUUGUACAAUAAACCUGGGUCAACAAUUGAACGCCUUGAGAGAAAUCAAAGGCUAAGGCAUAAGGUUCUAGCCGAGCAUGCAGUUGAGCAACAACGGUGGUUGGAAAGUGCUGCAGCUGGCAAACCAUUGGAAACAGAAGCAGCAAGAGCAAGAGUUGCUGAACUUUGGGCUUUGGAACAAGAGUUAGCUGAUGAAGCAUCAAUACUGCAAGGACUCAAAACUGACAAAGAUGCCAUAGAAUCAUUGCUUUCAGGUGUUCGUAGCAAGUUGGACACAGUGAAUUUAGAAGAUCAACUUCAUGGCGGUGGCCUUGAGGUGGAAUUGGCCAGAGUCCACACGAUGCUGGCGCACAAUUCUAAGGUUUAUAAGAAACUAGAGCAGACGGUAGCCGAGAACGCCCGAUUAGAGCGGGAAUUACAACAGUUGCGUCGGGCGUUACGAGCAAGGAGGGCUACUACACAGCCCACCCAUUCACAUCCCACACAGCCUACUCAUCCUACAGCCAUGUUGGAAGACGAAGUUUCAAGAGUCCAGCAGUUGGUCACAGCUCUUCAAAGACAGCGACAAGAGUUAAGCCGCGCCGUGAGGCACUUGACCCAGCAAUCCCAGGUCUUACAGACGACACAAGAUUCUAUGCCAGGAAAACAUCGGCCACUAUCAUUCUGGCAAGAGACGAAUCUAGAUACUGGCCAUACAAUUGACCACGGCCAGGAUUAUGAGUACGAAAGCCAUCCAGUCCACUACGGACAGACGGAACCAUUGUAUGUCGAUACUAGACCUGGCGAUAUCACCUCUCCCAUGACCAGUGAGGACAUGCAGCAUUCGGCAUUUGGUCAUCUAUCAAACGUCGAAAAGCAAGAAAUCAAAACGGUGCGUAUAGUGAAACGCGAGAGCGAGAGACGCCAAAGAGACAGAGAGCGCUCCCUUCAGCCAAUGUCCGAUUGGUCCACCAACAUCACGACCAACAUCGACCAAUUUCUCGAGGAAGAGUUGGUCCAACCCAUCAACAGCUAUCGGGCGUCCUCCGUCCCAAGAACGGAUUACUCCAAAUUCGAGGAAUACUACGCGAAGCAAAAUAAAGAGACACCAUAUUUGAAAUUCGAGAGGAACAUGGAACUCAGCCCAAAAUACCCAUCGAGCCCUUCUCUGUCUAACUACGACUACUCCAGAGAUUACAAAUAUAGUUACGACAGACUAACGCUAUCAAACCAAUACCUAAACAGCCCGACGGAAAGUUCCAGAACUUUAACCAAUGACAUUUCAAAGACCAGCAGUGUCAUGAGCCUGACGAGGUCCAACAUGGAGUUGUCGCCGAUAUUCAAAAGUGAGGCUGCGAAGGAGAUAAUCACAGAAAUGUCAGACACGCAUAAGAAUGGAUCUCUGCAUAGGAGACAGGUUCCGAAAGAGAAGAGACGACAUUAUACUGCGCCGCAUCAUUUGAGUUCGAAGACAUUGAAUGAGUUACCGAAGAAUGGCUAUAAACAAGAUGCAAUGGCUCGUUCUGUGGACGACGCAGACAUGGAGCGUGCAUUACGCGGCGCCGCGCCUGACGUUGUGAGAUCUGCUCUCCCCGCUACCAAGAUACCAGACUCCAUCGACCAAUUGCUCGCAGCGCCUCAGAAAAUUGUGAUUCCCGAGCGAUACAUUCCCGAGAAGCCCCCAGAACUAUCUCCAGAAGAACAACAAAAGAGGCAAGAGAAAGUAGAGUCGAUCAAAAAGAUGUUGUCCAGUUCCUCGGGCGACCAAACCAGCACCAAGAGCCCGGAUGGAGAAAAACGACAGCGAGAGCACUUACUACAAAUGAACCAGAUACUCGCCAAGCAGGUCACGGAGAUGAGCAAAAUUAUAGCUGGAACCAAUGAGGGACCGUCGAAUUGAUCCAUUUAUCAUACCCUUAGCUAUUACCUAAUUGGCCUCCGGAUCAUCGUGCAGCAUGGUUUUUAUGCAUUUUGUUUGAAAGCCUUGGAGGAACUGCCUCUAACAAACAACGCAGAUGAUUCGGAUCGCUCACCAGAUGUGGAAUUGCCGAUUUAUCAGCAGAGGGAGAAUUUCUUCACCUAACCUAUAAAAUUUGAACAAUUUAAUUGAGGCUAUGGCGAUAUACGUCAUUUGACAAACUUAUUUGUGGCAUUCAGUCUUUUGGCUUUGACAUGGAGUACAAUGACUAAAUGUAUGUAGUUUAACCAAAUAUCUGAUAAAAACCUCGUAUAAUCAGAAGGUUUUAAUGCUGAUACAUAAGAAUUGGCUUAUUUACUUGGAUGUUUUACUAGAGAUACGUAUCUGUCACGUCAUACAGUUAGCAGGAAGAGUGAGACAUAAUGUUGUCUCACUCUUGCAUAUGACGAUAGAAGAACUCAUAUUCAAAUGCUUCAUCAUAUCGUAAAUUAUGUUCAAUAUUUUAGGAACAUAUCAUUUAAUGCCAUAUCUACGUUAUGCUAAGGAAAUUGAUUAAUUGUUGCUUAGUAUUCUGUAUUAAAAACGCAGUACAAGUUAUAUGUAAUAUCUUGUUAGUAGCCGAAAAAAUUAAAUAAUAGUGAUUUCAAUUGCUUCAGUCUUUAAAUUCUAAGUACUGGACAGCGUAUUUCAUAAUUAAGCCAUGCUUAUAAAUCGCUCUCAACUAAAAGAGCUGUAAUAAGAAUGAUUUUUAAAAAUAGUAAAAUGCUUGAUGAAAGAAGUAGGUAGCUAGGCUCAAGGCUUUUUAUAAGUAAGGCUUACAUUUGAAUUGUGUAUAAAGACUUGUUUAUUCUAUCAACUAUGUACAUACUAUAGAUAUAUGAAGAUAUUUAAAACUUUUAUUUAGUAAUACCAAAAUGUUCUAAAUAGUUAUGUAAUAGUUCUAAUGUUCGCAACAGAAUGGCCUGCAAGUUAUUUCUUAUUUUAGUACAUUUUCCAAGACGUCAAAUGAAGACGUUGUGCUGUCAAAAAAGAUUAUUUUUAACCAAUACUUUUGCCGAGUCAACAAACGUCAAUGUCAGUUUUUGACAGUUUGAACGUGUCUAUGUUCCUACAAUUUGAAUCUCUCUGAAUAUCGCCUACAUCCGUUUAGUUUCAAAUACUUCUACGAAGCCGUUUAUUAUUCGAUACAAAAAUCUAUCGAAACCUUUUAUUAGGGCAGCUAUUCUAUUUUACGUAUUGUUUGUGCUAUGGCCUUAAAGAUUAAUAUAAAGUAUUUAGUAUUUAAGAUACACAACAGGACGAUGCCAUGUUAGUUAAUAUAGGUUUAGUUUCAUUUAGUUUUAAUGUAUGCCAUUGUUUAUCAUUUUAUUUUUUAAGUGUUAUUUAAUUUUAUGAUAUUGUAGAUUUUUGCAUUGAUACCAUUUUGUAUAAUAUCGAUUUAUUUUCAUUUAAUAAAACUAAAUUUAAGUAUACAAUUUGUUGUUAAUAAUUGUUUUCUUUUAUAAUACGGAUACCGUACGAUUAAUUAGUAUACUUUCCGGUAUUCAUAAUAUAGUUUAUUUAAUCUCUGCGAUUAUACAUCUUUUGGUUUUUGAUACAGUGUACUUGCUGACGCUGUGUCAAGUGUUUAAAGUCUCACAACCCUAUGGGGCAUGGGGCGGACAAAUAUAUAUUCUAUAUAUCUAUUGAUAUUUCUAAGUAAGCAAGCAGAGUUAGAUUUAGAAGGCCUUUUGUAUGUCAAGUACAUACAUGUUUGACGUUCGUAUUACUAAGCGCUAUAGUAGUGUCUAUUUAUUACAACAUAUUUGACAACUGUCAGCUACGUACACUUCACGUUCGACGUUCACUGACGCAUCAAUUUUACGACGAAAUUGUUGAUUAAAUGUUUAGAAUGUGUAUCUAAAAGUAAAUCAUAAAGGUUACAGUAUUACAAUAAAUAUGUAAUCGUAACCAAUGAAGUUAGCAAUCGUGAUGUUCUAUCCUUAAUAUGCGAGUAGCAAGGUUACAUUCUUCAAUUUUGAUGAAAUGCCAAUGGGUAUUAAAUCGACUCUAUUAAACUAUCUUCUACCAUGUUUUCUCCUUAAUCAAUUGCGCGUUGAAAAAAAAUCUAUUGGUAUACAGGUUUCUUACAACUUUAGAAUUGAAAGUCGCUUAGCCGCUGAAAAGGUAUAUUACGUUUUGUUUUAAGAAUAAUUAAUGCCGAUAUCAUACUGUACUUUCAAACAAUUAUUCGUACUGCAGCCGUAUUACUUAUUACCUUUGCACAUUGAUCGUCAAUUGUAGUUUAAAUGCUUCUAAAUCGCUUCAAGUAGAAGCAACGAAUUGGUAAUCUUUGUGAUAAACAUAUACUUCAUAUACAAAUUUAUUAAUUGUAGUAACGUAGGCCCCUAUAAAUAGCCUAUUAAAGCUUUAAAAUACUUAUGACUAUUGUAUUAUAAAUUGUCUUAUCGACGCAAAACGUAAACAUUAAAAUGUAUUUAAAUGGACCUUGAAAUGUUUCUCUGGUAUAAUGAUAGUAUAUUGAUUAUUUUGAUGUACAAAACUAGACUUAAAUCGUUGAAAUUGACAAUUAAAAAAUUUAAAAAUUGUUUAAGUUAAGGAACCUUAAUAAAUAUAUACACACUGUUCAAUAUUACAAAACCUUUUCAUGACAGUGAUAAGUAAAAUUAAGUACUGCGCUACCUACAUGAAAUAAUUGUCAACUUUAAUAAGCGCGUUACUCAAGCAAAUAAACCAAUAUAUUAUAUAUUUUGAUAUAAGUUAAAACUGAAUAUAUAAAAAUGUGAAUGAAGGACGGUGAACACCUCUACUCUCUAGGGAGAAUUCUCGACCGAUCCAACCACUGACUGGACCGAAGGCUUUAGUGGCUAAGGUCGAUAAGUUGUUUAUCCUUAGAGGUCGGAUUAAUUUUUUUAGCGUCUUGCAGAAAAUGACGUCAUGGCAGUAAUUGUAGAAUGUAGGUGUCGCUACAUAUAUACAUUUAUUUAAUCUGUUUUCAAUAGUCUAGUUUGAGUACAUCAUAAAUAGCAAUGUCUGUACUAUAUUUUAACUAUUCAUAACCACAUAUUAUCGUGUAAAUAGGGUAUGAUUACUUAUUGAAUUCCUUUUAAUUUUUCAUACUACAUAUAUUUAAAUGAUUUUUAUUUAAAUACUCGUUUAACUAAAUACAUCUUCAAACUAACUAAAUUAAUUUUAUUCUAAGGAAAUGGUAGUUCUAUCUCUAUUUAUUAUUAUAUAUAUUUCUCUAGUAUCUAAUAAUAAUUGGUUCUCUCAUAAUCGAUGUACCGAUUUAGAUUUUUCCAAAAACAAAAGGCAACGAUUAUCCCGGCUUUUACCUUACAUUAUUCAUAUGAAGUGUUAUUGUAAAAUUAUACUGUAUGUUAUAUAUUUAUAUUCCCUACAUUUCGUUUCUAUCCUCAUUUAGGUCUUCUGUAUGAACAAUUAACUACUAAAUUUAAUUCAGACUUCGCGGAUAUCAGGUAGUAGAAAAUUUUAUGAACUUAUAGACUGAUGUGUUAGUACCACUCUAUCGACUGUCCUAUUUGGAUUAUUUAUACAUAGUCAAUUAUGUACUUAACCUAUCCUUGUUAUGCAAAGAUUGUUUUAUAAUGUAAUAUUAAUGUAUUGGAAAUAAAAUAU